rnacentral:rRNA from 1 species
GACGAACGCUGGCGGCGUGCCUUAUACAUGCAAGUAGAACGCAGUUGCGAACGGGUGAGUAACGCGUAGGUAACUGCCUCAUAGCGGGGGUUAACUAUUGGAAACGAUAGCUAACACCGCCUACUGUGAGCUGGACCUGCGUUGUAUUAGCUAGGUGGUGAGGUAAAGGCCCACCAAGGCGGCGAUACAUAGCCGACCUGAGAGGGAGGUCGGCCAAAAUGGGACUGAGACAAGGCCCAGAAUUCUGCGGGAGGGAGCAGGAGGGGAUCUUCGGAAAUGGACGGAAGUCUGACCGAAGAACGCCGCGGGAGUGAAGAAGGUUUUCGGAGCGUUAAACUCUGUUGUUAGGGAAGCGGUAACUAACGAGAAAGGGACGGCUAACUACGUGCCAGCAGCCGCGGUAAUAC